CCCAGGCUUCAAAAAUCUUAGGGCCCAGGCCCAGCUAAAGCACUUUAGGCACAAAGGAAACUCUGCCAUCCAGAGGGGAAAAGGGUCUGAUUUUUUCUCAUCUGUAAUAUGAGGAAAUUUGUUACCAGUGGCAAAUCUGUACACAUCUGCAGCAACCUCAAGUCUUGUCUCCUCAGAAGAAAGAAUUGAACUGAGGGGCAUAAGGCAGAAGGAGAGACUGAGGCCCUGUGUUAGAUGCUGCACAAAGAUGAAUAAGUGUGAACAGCUGUCAACUAUUCCAAAGUUGUAGCUGCUACAGCUGCUAUAAAAGGCAGCGAGGCUGAGGCUGCCCCAGGAAUCAGGAGGUAAUUAAAAGCAUCCUUGAAGUCAGUGAAAAUAACAACGCAUGCGAUUACAUGUCCGCAGUGUCUCUCCUGGUCUAUUCACUGCAUUACCACUUGAAAACCUCAGAAAUCAGCAACUCCAAGCCAAGAGAGUGGAUACUCAUUCUCAUGGUAUCGUGUGUGAUGAUUCAGAUGAGUCCAGGUGUUGUAUAAGAGGAGAACUUAGCUCUGAAUGGACUAGUAUACCUGAUCACCAGCAGCAGUUAGAAGGUAUGAUUAUAUAUGCCUCAAACAAUCAUCUAAUAAAAGAUAGGAGUUUAAUGGUCUUCAAGGAUCUAGAAUUAAAAGGAAACUG